CCUUGAGAUAUGUUAACUUGGAGAACACCUCCAUUCCCUAUCAUUCUGUUGUAACAAGUCUUCAAAGAGCUGCUUGCUUUCUUCAGCCACAGUAGAUGCCUCCUUGACUAGUCCCAGGAAGACAAUAUGACUAUUUCAGCUUCCAAGAGAAGUGAAUGAUGCAGGGAAGAGCCAAUUCAGCCAGGUGGCAGCAAUCUGGCUCUGGGCUUCCUGGCCUCUGACAGGGACGUGCAGGACGACCCUUGGAGAGAAAUGGGUCACUUCUGCGUCUUGUUAGAUGGACCGUUACACAGACUGAGAGGACGCUGAUUGCUGAAGGAGGCAGCCAGCCAAGUCUGUAGCUACCCACCUCUGAAUUUAUUGAAGACAGGGAAGAAAAGAACCCCAAGAGAGGAAUGUGAAUGCCAUAUUCUAAAAGGAAGUUCUAAUUGGCAAUGAGCAUGGAAAACUUACCUGGAAUUACAAUCAAGCUGGGCACAAGAGUACUACUGUCCCGUCCUAUUCCUCUACCUAGUCCAUGCUACUCAUCAAAGACAAAGAGUCUGGCAGGAAUAAAGAAGCUGCUAAACACAAGUCUUAAAAAAC
ensembl:antisense Gm17227 predicted gene 17227